CUACGGGACGCUGCAGUGAGGAAUAUUGCACAAUGGGGGGAACCCUGAUGCAGCAACGCCGCGUGGAGGAUGACGCAUUUCGGUGUGUAAACUCCUUUUAUAUGUCAAGAAAAUGACGGUAGCAUAUGAAUAAGCACCGGCUAACUCCGUGCCAGCAGCCGCGGUAAUACGGAGGGUGCAAGCGUUACUCGGAAUCACUGGGCGUAAAGGACGCGUAGGCGGGUUGGAAAGUCAGGUGUGAAAUCCUACAGCUUAACUGUAGAACUGCACUUGAAACUUCUAAUCUAGAGUAUGGGAGGGGGAGAUGGAAUUCGUGGUGUAGGGGUAAAAUCCGUAGAUAUCACUAGGAAUACCUAAAGCGAAGGCGAUCUCCUGGAACAUUACUGACGCUGAGGUGCGAAGGCGUGGGUAGCAAACAGGAUUAGAUACCCUAGUAGUC
rnacentral:rRNA from 1 species